rnacentral:misc_RNA from 1 species
AACGCACCUUGCACUCCUUGGUAUUCCGAGGAGUAUGCCUGUUUGAGUGUCAUUAAAUUCUCAAUCCUCUCAAACUUGUUUUGUAGAGGCUUUGGAUUUUGGAGUGUUGCUGGCCUUUCAAAGUCGGCUCCUCUUAAAUGUAUUAGCUUGUAUAUUUUUGCAGAUAAGCUUUAGUUUGAUAAAUAUCUAUCUAAUUGCUUUGAAGCAAAUGUCAGCUUCCAAUUGUUGUUUUACAACACUUUCUUGACAUUUUUGACCUCAAAUCAGGUAGGACUACCCGCUGAACUUAA